GAACUCAUGGACCAGGACAUCAUGACCUGAGCAGAAGUCAGACACGUAACUGACUGAGCCACCCAGGCGCCCCAAGAAAUCACUUUUUAAUGGUCAACUCUAUGCAUAAUAGCUUUUACAGUGUGGAGUCACCUGACUCAUGUCUUUCCUAAAGUACUUCCUGUGUGGCACAGGAUACUUCGAAUCACGGGACCUUGAGCCUUCCAGUCCUGGCUAAACCCUGCCCCCCCACUCAGCAUGGUGGGGGUCACCCGAGGCACCUACCCACCCUAAUACAGGAGGAUGGCAAGUUCCAGCUUCUGCCAUUUCUGGACAGAUUGACCAGGUCUAGGACAGGUAGUACCUUUCAAGAGCCUGUUCCAGGAGGGGCUGAUGAGCCUCCAUGGGCAGAACUCACAAGAAACAUGCCAGGCUCACUAAUGUUGGAGGGUGACCUUGGGAAAGGCUGGAUAAAAGCUUUUUCUGAGCCUGUCAUACAGAAGCACACUGAACUUUCGGGACUCAGACUCCUCUGGUGAGUGGCUGGAUUAACAGAUAAAUACAAACUGAGAGCAGGCUGUCACCAGGGCAGCACCUGCAUGGUUGCCAGCACCCUGGGCCACACGGCCAGGGCCUGAACGCCUUGGACCGGUGGCCGCGGGGCCCACACUGGCAGGCAGUGGCACAAGGAGGGUACUUUUGGUGGACAGUGACUGAGCCUGUCCCAGCCCAGCUACUCUUUGGAGCUGUGCAGCAUUAGCAGAAACGGCCGUGAGUUAAAGCCAGAAAGGAGAACACCGGGUAUCAGUGAAGGCGAGCCUGUGAAACAUACAAGAGACAUUUCAAGGACCAGCCCGGGCUAUUUGGGAGGAACGGGAGAGAGAAGGGCUGGGAAUCCCCAGAGUAAGUUUCAGAGCCACAGACAUGAGAAUCUGCCUUUCGUUGUGAUUCUCUCCUCCCCCCGAGGCCACUGUGGUUUGGGGGAAAUGGGUGACAUCAGUAAAUGUGCGGAGAUCGGGAAACAGUGUCAGUCACCCUGCCUAGGAGGAUGAAUCCCCUAGUCUCUGCCUUCUUGUGACAUCACUGCUCCAGAAUGUAGCACGCCGUGGUGCCAGAUGAAAAGUUCUAUUUCUAGAGGAGGCACAAAAGUGCCAUUGUCUUGAUGACAGACCAAGAGACCGAGGUCAUUGUGUUUCCCAGCAGCCGCUGCGCCCCACUCCACAUCUGUAGCCCUCUCCCUCAGCAGCAGGCAGGGCCGUCCUUGGGGUGGGGGGGUGGACUCCAAGCACCAAGUAGAAUACCCGAUCUCGCGUCCGUUGGGUCAAAAUCCCAUCCAGACUCACCAACACGAGCUUCCAAAUGAGAUUUUCCAGAGCGCGUGGCCAAUUUUGUCAGCACUCUUCCAGAGCUGAACAGUUGCGGGGUCAGAGCAAGCCUAAGGCUCUAAGUGGCCCUUCACACAUCUAAGCAGAAGAAACUACAGAUUUAAAAGACCAAGGCCCUAUGGGAAGGAGGAGCCGGAUCCAGAAAACCAACUUUGUCUUCGUUACCAUGUAACACUGUGCCCUUCUCUUUCCAAACCUGCGCAGCCUCGUGAUCCCUGGAGAACUGCCGCUUUCAAAGGAGGGUUUUUGACUCACCUUUUCUGCUUUUCUUCCCUUCAGCUGCGCAUCGUUUGGCAAACGGGAAAGCGCUGCUCCCGGGGUGCCGCUCACUCUCCCCGCAGCCACGAGCCCACGAGCCCACGCCGGCGUGCCAAGACCACAAGGUCCCAAUCACGGGGGAUCUGCGUGAGGCCACCUGAGAUCUCAGAACCCAGGAAGGCCGGGUUGGGACGCCAACAUUUCUUACGGGCUAUGACCUGGCCGGCUCUUUUGUCCCCUGCAUUUGCGGAGGAAACAACGGUGGAGGUCAUCCAAACAAGAACACGAGCUCCAAAUCAAACUUGACUUUGUCUUUGCAACGCGUUCCUCGAUUUCCAGGCAGUCUGCACAAAGCCGUGCUAAGACAAGCAGCAUUGUUGGGGGCAUUGACGGGGCGCACGCUGCUGUCUUGGCACAGAGGCGGAAGGCAAGGGCUGGAGGGCGGGGGGGCUGGAAGCGUGUUGGGACGACCCAGGGAGAUACACGGAGACAGAAGUCUCCAGUGUGUGGUGGUGACUGGUGUGAGGGAUAAGCGGACAAGGAGAGCUUUCUCCCUGCUCUCAGGUCCUGGCCUGACCACAGAGCGAAUUACGCGCCUGGCUACUUCAGGGCAAGCUUGGGUAAAAGCCGCUUCAUGACCAGGUGUCUGUAAUAGCCUCUUCUGUUAUUAGAAGAGUCUGUAACGGCCCCGGAAAGGGCCGUUCAGGGGGCGAGACCGAGAAAGAAGGGAACAGAAAGGACAGCGUACUGGUUGUCCCCACAGCCUCACACCUGCCUAGAGAUCCCCUUGUCUUACCAAUUUAUUAAAUUAUUUCAACAAACCUGUUGUUCCAAUUCUUCCAAUCACUCUUAAAUCUUUGCCACUACAUGGAUACUAGAAAAAAAAAAAAUGUCUCAGUUAGCAACCUAAUCCACCGGGCAUGGCCAACCUGGUCCUGGGCAAGGCAAAGACUUAAAGUAACGUUCCCUUUAGUCCAUGCUGUGCACAGCAACCAAGCAGACUAAUAGUGUUUAGCAUUCUCUGCGUGAAGCUUACGGGCAGGGCCUCCGCGGUGUUGAGCAAAGAGCCAGAGGUUUCAUUAAACGUUAAGACCAACCCCGAUGACCCUAUUCAGAGCAGAGCAGUUAAAAGGGCUCUGAAGGCAAACUGCCUUGGUUCGAAUCCCAGCUCCAGAACUUACUAGCUGUGUGAUUUUGUGAAAUUUGCUUAACUUCUGUGUGCCUCAGUUUCCUUAUCUGUCAAAGGGGGCUACCAAAUGACAUCUACCUUAUGCUGGAAGGAUACGAGGAGUUAAAAGGAGCUUUGUGCUUGCUACUUAAUCGGGUACUCAGAAGGAGCUUUAUAAAAGUUUGUUAAAAUACAGUUUUGUAUGUAAUGCCAUACACAGCUUGGAUUUAUUCACUCAGCACUGCCGGCUUCACGACAAGACGCCCGAAGAGUCAGUUGCACGGAAUACAACCAACACUGGGGAGCAGGGAACCUUGGGCCUUGUCCGCACUCACCAGGAUGAUCCUGAAACCUAAUGGUAGCAGUGAGACUGCCGUUAAGUCACUGACCGGUCGUGAUCUCGCGGUUCCACGAGUUCAAGUCCUACAUCGGG